AUGCACUCCGAAACCUCCAUCGAUAGGCUGAACCAGGUGCCUUUCUCACUUGAGGACCCAGAUUACAAGGGCCUUGAGCUAGAUCUGAUGGCGUUCUGCGAGAAGCAUGGGAAGCCAUCAGAGAGGCUUGUUGCGUUUGAAGGAACAAUGACUGGGAGAAGUCCGGAUCGCCGCCGAUAUGAAAAAAACAAAUCUUGCGCUAUAAAUUAUAACUUUGCACAUGGCUGCUUAGCAACUUCUAAGUUGAAUGGAGUGUUACUCUGCUGCCUGGAAGGUCAGAAUUGUGGGUUUGUUCAGUGGGUUGAUGAGCAGUGGCCCCCAACAAUGGAGAAUGCAUUGCUGAAGCUUUGGUCAAUGGUUGAAGAGAGCAAGUCUGCUAGGGUGAAUGAUAAUCUUCAAAGUGCUUUAACUACUCACCAUUUGACAGAAGAAAAGAACAAGCUGGAUGCAGACUAUGACAAGUUAGUGAAAGAUGUGCAUCAAUUUGUGGACUUUCAGCAGGAUAGGGUUGUGGAUUUCAGUUAUCUGCAGUCCGCUGUCACAUAUCAGCACCAAUGCAGAGCUGAAUUGGUGGCUGGUAUGAAUGCAGAAAUGGCAAAGAAAGAUGCAGCUAGAGAGAAGCUUCAACAGAAGUAUGAACUUCUGUGCAACCUGACAAGUGCUCAAGCAACUGUCAUCCAAAACCUGAAGUUGAAGAAUAUG
rnacentral:rRNA from 1 species